UCCAUCCCGAGCUCUGUCCCUCUCUCCUCCCUCCCUCUGUCCCUCUCUCCUCCCUCCCUAGUUCCUUCCCUCUCUGUCCCUAGCUCUGUCACCCCCUCCUCGCUCCAUCCCUCUAUAGCUCUGUCCCUCCCUCCUCGCUCCAUCCCUCUGUCCCUAGCUCUGUCCCUCUCUCCCUAGCUCUGUCCCUCUCUCCCUAGCUCUGUCCCUAGCUCUGUUCCUCUCUCCUUAGCUCUGUCCCUAGCUCUGUCCCUCUCUCCCUAGCUCUGUCACCACCCCCCCUCCUCGCUCCAUCCCUCUGUCUCUAGCUCUGUCCCUCUCUUCUCUGACACUGGAUUCAUUGUGCUGCUGAGAGGUAUUGAUCAACAAUAAGCCAAUGGCAGGUGGGCUAGGCUGGGCUGAACAGAGACCCACUGCACUGGCACAAUACUGUGUGUAUGUGUCUUGGUUAAAUGGACCGCAAAGCAAUGAAGAGGAGAUUUAUUGGCCACACACUCGCCCAAGCGCACACACACAGCACGACUUUAAAGUAAAGGAAAUCAUUAAAAAAAUUGCUGAUGUAUUUUUCAUAAAUGACACAAGAUGAUCACCUGUAAUAAACAAGUACAAAGGUUAUUUAAGAGUGUAGACUACUAGUUAUCAGAAUAGUCAUGGCAAUAUGGCUUCUAUUGUACGAGCACAAGCAGAAGGUCAAUAACAACACAUUCUAACAGCUAACAGGACGUCCAACAACAAGCCAUGAGAGCAGGUUAUGUCUGUCUGGUCCCUCCCACUGUAUUAGUGGGGUUGGACAGUAUUGUUGUGUUCCAGGGUUUGGGGAGUGAGGGCUGUCCCUCUGACUGCUUUCAGGAAUGUUAAGUCAUGUGAAAUAGAGGAUGUUUUUUUAUGGGAACCUGGAGUGUGACUGUACCUUGAUGAGUUUGAGUUGGAUUUUGACUCUGGGUGUGUAGAGACACAGCUAUGAUGGAAUGUCUCCAGCCUCCUCUUGUCUGGGGAUCUUUAUUCCAUCUUCAUUCAAAUUAUGAAAAUGUACUAUUAAGUUCAGGGGCCACUUUUGGCCCCCAUGGGAGUGCAAGGCUAGAGUGACUGCCUCCUUUCUCUUUCAUGCUGUGGUUCGAAAGAGGGAGGACAUUUUGUUUUUUAGGGCAAG
ensembl:lncRNA